rnacentral:rRNA from 1 species
UACGAGGGGGGGCAAGCGUUGUUCGGAAUUAUUGGGCGUAAAGGGUGCGUAGGCGGUUUGGUAAGUCUGAUGUGAAAUCUAUGGGCUCAACUCAUAGUCUGCAUCGGAAACUGCCGGGCUUGAGUGUGGGAGAGGUGAGUGGAAUUCCUGGUGUAGCGGUGAAAUGCGUAGAUAUCAGGAGGAACACCUGUGGCGAAAGCGGCUCACUGGACCAUAACUGACGC